rnacentral:lncRNA from 1 species
ACGAGUGUAUGAUGCAGCGUUCAACAAAAAGGCUACGUCCAGUACUGAUCUGUCGUGCGAAGCGGAGGAAGAGGAGUCUCUGCCACAGUUAGAACUGCCACUACUCCAUUCAGAUGCAGAUGUCGAGGGGGAACACGGAGGUCGAAGAAUCAUCGCCACUUCAUGGUGCUGCAGAUGUUAGAGAGAAGCUGGAGCGUCUGCACCUUCCAUCUUUCAAAGAACCAUAGAUCAAGUACUCCAAGGGUUGCCACAGACCACCUGCUACCUGUACGACAUCCUGGUGACGGGCAGAACGAAGGAAAAUCCUAGGCCCAACGACCGGGAUGGAUCCCUACGAUGACAGCAGCGCGGCUUCAGAGAUGGUGUUGUCAGCUAGCCGCACACCGCUACACCGUCGUCCACCGGUCUUCCAAGGAAAAUGCCAACGCAGAUUGCUUAUCAAGACUGCAAAAAGCAAGAGACGACCCCAACACCGACGCUGUCGACAAAACGUACGCCUUCUACUGUGAGUACUUUGAUAAUGUCCCUUUUAAAUGUAAAGACAUUGCACGGGCAACGUCCAGAGACCCUCGCCUAAGUCAGGUCGUGGAAAAAGUAAAGCAAGGUUGGAGCCCAGAACGCAAUCGAUCCAGAGUCUGUGCCCUUUCACGUACGCAUCAGCGAGCUUUCGCUUCACCAAAGAUGAAGGAUGCCUCAUGUGGGAUUUAUGGGGUGGUGAUUACGAAGAUUUUGCAGAAAAGGGUCUUAGAAGAACUUCAUGGGGACCAAUUGUGCACACUAAGGACAUGGCCAGGAGUUAUGUUUGGUGGACAUCAAUUAAUAAGGACAUUGAAAGGGAACUUGGACGUGUUGUGUGUCAGCUUCACCGAAACAACCCAUCCGCUGCUCCCCUACACUCUUGUGCCUGGGCGACAUGUCCAUGUGAGAGGCUGCAUGUGGAUCUGGCGGGACCCUUUAUGGGAAAAAUGUUCCUCGUCCUGGUGGAUGCUCACUCCAAAUGGCCAGAGGUGUUAAUCUUAGAGUCCACGACGUAGAAGGCAAUCAUCCAGAGUAGUGCUUUGUACGUUUUGGCUUGCCACAACCAUGGUUUUUGACAACGAGCCCCAGUUCGUGCCUGAGGAAUUUCGAGCUUUUUAAAUAACAUCGUAUAGCCCAGGUCACGUCGGCACCAUACCAUCCUGCUACAAAUGGAUUUGCUGAACGGUUUACUCAGACCAUGAAUUCAAACUACCUGCGGAAAACAACUUCGAGCCAACCCCUCUACACAAAGGCCAAGAGCGGACUUUCACUGCAUGAGACCAAGUCUAUGCCAGAGGCUCUCGAAGUGGUCGUAAGUGGCAGCCAGGAACUGUCAUUGCCCAGACAGGUCCAGUGUCUUUCAAGGUGCAAGUCUCCCCGGGUCAGGUGUGGCGAAGACAUCAGGACCAGUUGCUCUGAGCACCUUCACAAGACUCCGGAUGUUCCGGACGAGGCAGCAAUGGUGUCUGCUACGGCUUCGACAGACAGCGCACUUGAAGACAACACAGGUGGCAGCUACCCUCCACAGGACUCCUUGCCUGCACCAUCCACAGUCCCAAGGCCAAGAAGCAGCCGUACAACUCAAGAUGCUGAGACGCUGAUGUAUGCAGAUGAGAUGAGAGUGACGGAGAGCGACGGUAUACCAUGCGAGGUCGGCGCAAGCCUCAGAAAAUGACAUAAGAGUGACGAAAAGCGCCAGACGUUUCUAAACAAACAAGUACUUGCUGUUAAUGGUUUGAAGUUACUUGCUGAGUAUGUUCCAGUUUAAAAAAGGGGAAAUGAUUUGGUGUCCAGAGGGCGCUGCGAGCGAGAAGGCGGUGGCCGUGCAAAACCUGAUGCGCACGGCACUUUGAGCUGUACUAGGCACGAGCGGUGCCGGUGAGCGACAGUUGAAGAAAGGUUCGAACACGGAAUAUUCUGGACAACCGCACAGCAUGUGAGUUGGUUCAAUUGGAUUUAAAACAGGCAUUCGACAAAUUUGACUGCAGCCUUCUACUGCGGAAACUGCUGAACAUUGGCGUAGCAGGCAGCACUCACAAAUGGAUCGCAAAUUUCUUGGCAGGCAGAAUCCAGAGAGUUGUAUUCCAAGGAACCAAGUCCGAAGACCUACAGGUAAUCUCGGGCAUCUCCCAAGGCAGCGUAUUUGGCCCGACCACCUUUAUUUAUGAUAUGACUCGUUCCCUUAACUCGACGCCAUUUCUAUACGCCGACAAUCUAACACUUCUUCUGCCCAACAGGAACAUAAGCCCUUACAAGCAAGGAGGACCUUUGCAAGGUUCAAAAGUGGAUCUGUGACAAACGAACUAUACCCCUCAACACUGCAAAGUGCUCCGUGAUGGUAGUCAUCUCACCACCACCCGACAGCCCCUGCCCCCUCCAGACUUGAGAUUCUGGGGCACUGCACUCAA